rnacentral:tRNA from 1 species
UCCCUCGAGCCGGAUUUGAACCAGCGACCUAAGCAUCACCGUUGUAACAUCUACAGUCCUCCGCUCUGCCAACUGAGCUAGCGAGGG